rnacentral:rRNA from 1 species
CUCGUAGGUGACCUGCGGAGGGAUCAUU